CUUAAGUUUCUAUUUCCAAAGAGAGCGCCGAUUAUCUCUUUCUUGCAGCUUCUCUGUAUUUCCUCUUCAGAAACAAAACCGUAGCCUCCAUCCUCUAGUAGCCAUACGUGACGAUGAUAGAAACCAUGAAAUCCUCACACAUGUUGUUUUUCAGCUUAUAUCUUAUGAGGUCUGACAUAUAUAUUUUCAGGUCUCGCCUGGAUUUGAGAUUUGGAAGCAGAAAACGAGAAGGCUAAGAGGAUGGUGAAGGGCGUGGCAACCUACUUCUCUAUGACUUUGGGGGCUUUUGUGUUUUGGCAAUCCAUGGAUGAAGUCCACAUCCGGAUCGCUCUGCAUCAGGACGAAAAGGCAAAAAUCUCUUCUUUCUCAUGCCUGCAGAUGCAAUUUCUCUUUUAGAUUGGACUUAUAAUUUGGGUGAUUAGCAAUUUUUUUUAAAGAAUUUGAUUGAAUUUCAUCACCACAAGCGCAGAAUUGAGAGGGUUCUCAUCGAAUGGUUCAAUUAUGGUGGAAAAAUCCGAUUUUUAGGAAAUUGGCAUGAAAUUUGGUGGUUAGGUUACAGGGGAAUGGGGAGUAGGUGAUGCUGCAAAAUUGGGGAGGAAAUCAGGGGUGGGAGGAAUACCUUAUCUCUCAGACUUCUCCCCCAUCUCCAUCACCGUGACCCAACAUCAUGGCAGCCACCGCCGUCUCAUCUCUCAAUCUUGGAAUAGAAGUCUUUCCUCUCAUUGAAAGCAGUCCCCGCCGUCCGAUCACGAAACCCACCGCCACCCUUCUUGCUCCACCGUCACACCGGCUUCCUUCCCUCAUUUUCUCAAACCCAUUUCGCCUCCCUCUCCUCAACCACCGUCGGCAUGUCCCCAACUCACUCUCCACCACAACCACUACCAGAGGUACAGAUGUUGUGAGGUGCUCUCUUCCUUAACCUUGACAGAUGAAGAUUUGGACAAGCUGGGGUUCGAGAAGGUCGCCGAGGAGUUCAUUGGAGAGUGCAAGUCGGAAGUUUUGCUUCUCCGCCACAAAAAGACAGGUGCCCAAGUCGCUUCCAUGUCCAACAACGACGAAAAUAAGGUCUUUGGCAUCGUUUUCCGAACCCCACUGUGAGUACUCUUCCAAAAUCUCAAAAUUUUCAUUUUUUGUUUGUUUGUUUAUUUGUUAAUAAAGUGGAGCUACCCAUUUAUGUAGUUGCUGAUUUUCAGUGCUCGGCUACCAGUUAGUCUGAUAUUUGUAUCAUAAUUAAACUUGUGGUUGUGUGGUUUUGGUGUGGGGGAUGCAAUACUUGUACAAUCUACAAAGGUCGAGGCAAUCAGAUGGAUGGGCUCAGGGGAUGCAAUUAUUUUAGGUGGUUUUGUGGAAAAGCAAUGGCAGGUUUUAGGAAAUUGCUUGUAAGUUUAAAGCAGAGCUGCCACAAAGUACGGUCGCCGCAACUUGGCCUCUCGAUGGACCUUUCGCAAUUGCAGCUUACCAGAGUAAAUGCCAGACUGAGGGAUUGUCGACUAAUAGCGAUAGGGCUAGCAAAUGUGUGUUAGUAUGUCAAAGUGAUGGAAAAUCUGGAUGUUUAAAUCUGAGCUACAUCAUCCUCAUGUUGUCUCAAUGAUUCAAAAUGAUUCAAUGGAGGCAUGAAAGGCAAACAUUUUUGCAACCAAGCACUCGAGGGUUUGGUGGAGUAGUCCAGGCUGGUGUCACGGAUAUAAAACUCGUUUCACAUGGUUUUCUUUCGUGUGGUGGAGACGUCACUGUAAAGCUGGUUCAGCUCAAAGAUCACCAGCGUUAGACGUGAUGAAGUUGAUUAUAAGUUAUGUUAGAACUCAUGGGAAAUCAUUCAUGAACAAUAUGACUGCAGAAAGCACCAAACUUUGCGAUACUCCCCAACAUUCCUCCAGUGUUGCUUGUGACUAGUGCAUUCUAUACUCAACGCUGUGGACGUUUUUGGAUCCCUACCGCUUACACGCAAGGGGAAUUAUGAGGCUCAACUCUCUCGCUAGCUCGAAGGUGACUACCAGGAGGACCAAGGGAAUAGAAAAGAACCGGAUAUAAAUAUUUUCGGUUUUUUUUGCUUAUGAGCCUAAAUGGAGGAGAAAACAAUCUUAUCGGGCAACAUUGGUCGGAAGGAUGGCAUGGUCGAAUCUUGGCGAUCAAGGCCUUUUCGAGUGUUUUCGAUCUCUUCACACUGCUCUGCUGGAUCUCUGUCGAGUUAAGGCACCAGGAAGAGUUCCAAAUUUCACUGUACAAAUUAUUUUUUAUUUUACUUCCAUUUCAUGUGCAUAUAUAAUUCUGAAAACUGCUUCAUAGCUAUUGUAUUGUAUGUAAUGAUUGGUGCGGAGAAUUUUAUAAAGUAAACUGAAAUUUGGAUU